CUACGGGAGGCAGCAGUGAGGAAUAUUGCACAAUGGGGGCAACCCUGAUGCAGCAACGCCGCGUGUACGAUGACACAGUUUAUCUGCGUAAAGUACUGUUAACCGGGACGAAAAGACGCAUAGGAUGCGUUUAUAUGACGGUACCGGUAGAGGAAGCUCCGGCUAACUCCGUGCCAGCAGCCGCGGUAAUACGGGGGGAGCUAGCGUUGUCCGGAAUCAUUGGGCGUAAAGGGCAUGUAGGUUGGACUUUAAGUCAGUUGUUAAAUAUUGCGGCUUAACCGCAUUAUGCAAUUGAUACUGGAGUUCUUGAGUGUGAGGGGGGACAGAGGAAUACCUGGUGUAGCGGUGGAAUGCGUAGAUAUUAGGUAGAACACCUGAGGCGAAGGCGUCUGUCUGGCUCAUCACUGACACUGAAAUGCGAAAGUAUGGGGAGCAAACAGGAUUAGAUACCCCGGUAGUC
rnacentral:rRNA from 1 species